UUGGCGUGGCGGCAGCAGGCUGAGAGGUUGUGCCUGCUGCUGCCUCUUGCUCCGCCCCUGGAAAGUCCUGGAAACUUUCAGGCAGGGCCUUGGAUUCUAAGGGAACCGGUUCACUGGAGGAGCGUCGCUGGAUUCCCAGUUCUUCAGUUUCUUCUAUCUUAAUCAUCAUCCAAACCACUAGAAAAGUUCAUUCCAGGGGUGAAAUGCUCCCGUUCGGACCGGCUCGAGCGUGUAGGUAGCGAUAGCGGCGGGCAGUUUGGAGAACUGGUAGCAAAAAUCCCUUCCCCCACCCAGCCUCCAGCUUGCUUACCUUCGCUCUUCGGACUGAAUCCUGAGCCACUGCUUGCAACGCCUGCCUUGCUUCGCUUGCUGUAAUCCCUGCAAUCCAUUGCAUCAGCAAGCAACUGAAUCUCCCUGCCUGCAAUCAAGCUCGUCGGUGAGCAGCUCUAUCUGCCUGCCUGCCUGCCUGUUAAAAAAGGGCAAAGAAGUGAUGUCGACUUGGCCACGCCCAUCUGACUACCAAGCCACACCCACCAAUUAAGCCACGCUCACAGAACCGGUAGCGAAAAUUUUUAGAUUUCACUCCUGCUGUAAUAUCAUAUGUCAGCUUCUGUGAAGACCUAUGUGUACCGACCAGGAACUUGCGAAUAUACAGUAACAACAUAUCUUAGUUCACAGCUAAACUUAAGCAGCUACGUCGUUCCAAAGAGGAAGCCUACAGAAAAGUUGUUAAAAUGCUGUACAAUCAGGCCAGAAAUGUAUUAACAAGGGAGAUCAGAGCAGCAAAAAAGAGCUACUCUGAAAAGCUAAAGAAUCAGUUCUCAACAAAUGAACCAGCAAACAUGUGGAAACCUCUUAAAAAUAUCAGCGGCUACGGCAAACCUCCUUCCCAGGUUGAAGGAAAUCAGCAACUGGCAGAUGACCUGAACGUAUUUUACUGCAGGUUUGAAAGGAAACUACAGCCACCUAUCUCCGUAACCCCCAUCUCAGACACACCAACAACAGCCAAGCCUCCUACAACUGACCCCAUCCCAUUGGGUUCACAACCCCUAGUGAUCACAGAAAAGGAAGUGCAAGACCUAUUUCACAGACAAAAGCCAGGAAAAGCUCCAGGCCCAGAUAACUCCUUCUUGCUUAAAAGUCUGUGCUGACCAAUUGGCCCCCAUCUUCACCCGUAUCUUCAAUAAAUCGCUAGAGAUGUGCUAUGUUCCUUCUUGCUUCAAACGCUCUACUAUCAUCCCAGUGCCGAAGAAGCCCACCAUCAAGGAACUGAAUGACUACAGACAGUUGCUUUAACAUCUGUAGUCAUGAAAACCUUUGAAAGGCUAGUGCUGUCCCACUUGAAAACCAUCACGGAUCCGCUGUUAGACCCCUUGCAAUUUGCAUACCGAGCAAAUAGAUCAACAGAUGAUGCUGUUAAUAUGGCUCUGCACUACAUCCUACAACAUCUUGAAUCUCCAAAGACCUAUGCAAGGGUCCUCUUUGUAGACCUUAGUUCAGCAUUCAAUACCAUCAUUCCAGACACACUUCUAACUAAGCUAAACCAGCUACAGGUACCCGAACACACACUUGUAAGUGGAUCAUAACCUUCCUAACAAACAGGAAGCAGCAGGUGAAGCUAAGCAGAAUCACAUCAGAUACCUGUACAAUUAGCACAGGGCCCCCCAAGGCUGUGUGCUCUCCCCGCUUCUCUUCUCUCUGUAUAUCAAUGACUGCAUCUCUAACGAUCCAUCUGUUAAACUGCUGAAGUUCGCAGAUGACACAACAGUGAUCAGUCUCAUUCGAGACAAUGAUGAAUCCGCAUACAGAUGGGAGGUUGAACAACUAGCCUCGUGAUACGACCGGAACAAUCUGGAACCGAACACACUCAAAACCGUACAAAUGGUGGUAGACUUCAGGAGAAACCCUCCCAUACUACCACCUCUCACAAUACUAGACAACACAGUAUCAACAGUAGAGACUUCAAAUUUCUAGGUUCUACCAUAUCGCAAGAUCUAAAAUGGACAGCUAACAUCAAAAACGUCAUCAAAAAAGCACAACAAAGAAUGUCUUUUCUGCGCCAACUCAGAAAGCUCAAACUGCCCAAGGAGCUGCUGAUACAGUUCUACAGAGGAAUUAUUGAGUCUGUCAUCUGCACCUCUAUAACUGUCUGGUUUGGAGGAAAUUUCUCAAGUGAGAACAAUCAACCAAUGGAACAGAAGUUGCCUUUGGAAGUUGUGGGAGCUUCAUCCCUUGAUAUUUUCAAGAAGAGAUUGGACUACCAUUUGUCAGAAAUGGUGCAGGAUCUCCUGCUUGAGCAGGGAGGGGGGUUGGACUAGAUGACCUUAAGGUCCUUCCAACUCUGUUAAUCUAAUCUAAUAAAACAAUCUGUAAAUUCA